AGACCAGAUGCCAAGGGUGCCAGAAUCUGCCCGAUCGCGCGAAGGCGAGCAGAAUCACAAGCAUUGAAGAAUUUUCUAAGGCAUGCAAAGGCUCACGAAGUCUCAAAGCCUGUUUAUGGCGAGACCAGAAGCCAUGCGUGCCAGGAUCUGCUCGACCGCGCGAAGUUGAGCAGAAUCCCAAGUAUUGAAGAAUUAUCUAAGGCAUGCAAAGGCUCAUCAAGUUUCAGAGCCUGUUUAUGGCGAGACCAGAUGCCAAGCGUGCGAGGAUCUGCUCGACCGUGCGAAGGCGAGCAGAAUCCCAAGCAUUGCAGAAUUUUCUAAGGCAUGCAAUGGCUUAUCAAGUCUCAAAGCCGGUUUAUGGCAAGACCAGAUGCCAAGGGUGCCAGAAUCUACUCGACCGAGCGAAGGCGAGCAGAAUCCCAAACAUUGAAGAAUAUUCUAAGGCAUGCAAAGGCUCACAAAGUCUCAAAGCCUGUUUAUGGCGAGACCAGAAGCCAUGCGUGCCAGGAUCUACUCGACCGCGCGAAGUUGAGCAGAAUCCCAAGUAUUGAAGAAUUAUCUAAGACAUGCAAAGGCUUAUCAAGUUUCAAAGCCUGUUUAUGGCGAGACCAGAAGCCAAGCGUGCCAGGAUCUGCUCGACCCUGCGAAGGCGAGCAGAAUCCCAAGCAUUGAAGAAUUUUCUAAGGCAUGCAAUGGCUUAUCAAGUCUCAAAGCCUGUUUAUGGCGAGACCAGAUGCCAAGCGUGCCAGGAUCUGCUCGACAGUGCGAAGGCGAGCAGAAUCCCAAGCAUUGA
rnacentral:lncRNA from 1 species